GAGCGGAGAUGAGGUGCUUGCACCUUAUCUUAGCGGCGGACGGGUGAGUAAUGCUUAGGAAUCUACCUAUUAGUGGGGGACAACGUUUCGAAAGGAACGCUAAUACCGCAUACGUCCUACGGGAGAAAGCAGGGGACCUUCGGGCCUUGCGCUAAUAGAUGAGCCUAAGUCGGAUUAGCUAGUUGGUGGGGUAAAGGCCUACCAAGGCGACGAUCUGUAGCGGGUCUGAGAGGAUGAUCCGCCACACUGGGACUGAGACACGGCCCAGACUCCUACGGGAGGCAGCAGUGGGGAAUAUUGGACAAUGGGGGGAACCCUGAUCCAGCCAUGCCGCGUGUGUGAAGAAGGCCUUUUGGUUGUAAAGCACUUUAAGCGGGGAGGAGGCUACUUAGAUUAAUACUCUAGGAUAGUGGACGUUACCCGCAGAAUAAGCACCGGCUAACUCUGUGCCAGCAGCCGCGGUAAUACAGAGGGUGCGAGCGUUAAUCGGAUUUACUGGGCGUAAAGCGUGCGUAGGUGGUCUUUUAAGUCGGAUGUGAAAUCCCUGAGCUUAACUUAGGAAUUGCAUUCGAUACUGGGAGACUAGAGUAUGGGAGAGGAUGGUAGAAUUCCAGGUGUAGCGGUGAAAUGCGUAGAGAUCUGGAGGAAUACCGAUGGCGAAGGCAGCCAUCUGGCCUAAUACUGACACUGAGGCACGAAAGCAUGGGGAGCAAACAGGAUUAGAUACCCUGGUAGUCCAUGCCGUAAACGAUGUCUACUAGCCGUUGGGGUCUUUGAGACUUUAGUGGCGCAGCUAACGCGAUAAGUAGACCGCCUGGGGAGUACGGUCGCAAGACUAAAACUCAAAUGAAUUGACGGGGGCCCGCACAAGCGGUGGAGCAUGUGGUUUAAUU
rnacentral:rRNA from 1 species